ensembl:lncRNA
CAGAGAACGAGAGGUGCAGACGGGAGGCGCUGCCAAGCUGGCGGCCCGACUGCCCCGGUCCCACUCGCACCCGCGGCUCAGCCGCGUCCGUGCCCACCCGCGGCUGGGCCGCGCCCGUGCGUCGCUGCCCCCGUCGCCCCUGCCGCACCCUCCGUUGCCGGGCCUGCCGCCAGGCCUGAGCUGCGGGCCGCCACCGCCCUCAGCCCUCGCCCGCGCCGAGCUACCGCCGCUGCCCGCGCUCCCGCUGCGGCCCGAGCUGUUGGCACCUUGGGGCCCCGGCGCCCACCUUGCGCUGCCCGAGCUACCGCCCGAGGCCUGCGCUCCCCCGCCGCCUGCAGCCGCGCUCGCCCUGCAGGACCUGCCGCGCUUGCCCGCUGCCGCGCCACCGCCUGGGCACCCGCCGCUGCCUCCGCUGCCUCCGCUGCCAGAGGCCGCCGCUGCCGCCGUGCCCAGGCCUGUGGGCGCGCGCGGCCGCCCGGCCCUGCGAGGGGAGGCGCCCCUGCCGCCGCUGCCGCCGCUGCCCUACCGGCCCUCGUCCUUCGGCCUGCUGGGCCCUCCCGCUCCCCAAGAUCCCUGGCCGCUGCCCGCCUUUCCCCCCGCCGUCGCCCCCGCCUCCCCCGCUGUCCUUCUUCCUGACCCCUCCCUGCUGACCUCCGGUGCUGCGAGGCCGCCGGCUGCUGGGGCUGCGCUCCGGUGGCCCGGCUCAGGUAACCAGGCUGGCAGCCCAUCUCCAUGGGCUUUUCUGCAGUAGCUCAGGAGUAUCAGGAAGCCAACCCUGACCUUGGAGGACCUCUAAGAGCCCAGGACCCACCAGCAAGAAAAGGUAGUCUAUUAGUGUCCUGUGACUGCUAUAAGUAACAACUGAGUGGCUGAAGACAACAGAAAUUUGUUCUUUCACAGUUCUGGAGGCCAGAAAUCCAAAAUGAAGAGAUUAGUAGGGCAUCAGUCCCUCUGCAGCACUUGGGAAGGAUCCUUCCUUGACUCUCUCAGCUUCUAACUGUUCCAGGCCUCUCUUGGCUUGUGGCCACAUCACUCCAACCUCUGUCUUCUUCACAUGCUUUUCCACUGUGUUUGUCUCACAACUCCAUUUUUCUUUUCUUAGACAAGCACUCUGCCACUGAGCUAUACCCCCAACCCUUUAUUUUUUAUUAUGAGAUAGAGUUUCACUAAGUUGCCCAGGCUGCCUCAAUCUCGCCAUCCUGCUGCCCCAGCCUCCUGAGUGGCUGGGUUCAAGGCAUAUACCACCAUACUUGCCUAUUUUUCUCUUACAAGUAUUAUAGACAGCUAAGUUAGGUAGAAAUAGAGGGAUGAUGACUGUUAGCGUUAUGUAUAUCUAAAAUGUACCAAUAAAGGUUUUGCUUCAAAAAGAAAAAAGAAAGACAUAUGGGCAGUCAGACAGGGAUAGGCCCUCGAGGGAGUGAGUGCAGAAGGUGAGAAAACAUUACAGCUGGCUGGAGGCACAUUUGUUGAAGGCCAGGCCUAUAUGCCUCCCUGAGGGAUAAGCAAUAAAUUAAAGAUUAUACCUGGUCCAAUAAAGUCUAGCACCCAGGUGGGUGACCUCUUGAUCCAUCCCUUCCUAAAAAGGUCUUUGUUCUUUCCAUAUACACGUACUAUGUGACCUGCUUCCCCAUUGGUCAAUAUUACCUAAGUAGCUAUACUUACAAUCUUAUUGGUUAGUCAGAGUUUUGAUUCAUGUAGUACCCACUUUGUGAUUUUGCUCUACAAAACUGACUCUGAGAAGUGGGAUCCAUGAUCACCUACUUUCAGGUCCCCUCCUGUCUCCAGGAGAUCUCUCUCUCAAUAAAUUUAUCCUACUCUUAACCUCUUUUGUUCUUUAGAAUUCAUUCUUCCAUUUUGGGGAAUAUAAACUCGGUGUAUCUGACAUCUAGCAGGUUGAGUUGUAUUAUUCCCCCUAUAUCACAAAGACAUCUGUCAUUGGUUGUGGAGCCUAUCAACCCAAAUUGAUCACAUCUUGAGAUCCUUCAUUUAAUAGCAUUUGCAAAGAUCCCCAGGUUCCACUUACAUUUAUGGGGCCAUCAUCUGAUCUGUAUAAGCAGUGUCCUCUACCCUGUGGGGCUGGCUCACCUCCCUUCCUGUCUUCCCAGAACUUUCGGUGUUCUAGACCUUGUCCCUUACUGACCUAGGGAAUUGCGUGACCCUAGCACCCUUGGGCAGGAGCUGAUAAACAUCAGACUUUAACUGUAGCUUAUUGCCGCAGGAAGAAGAUAAAAGGACUGUCUUUCCCCUUUUCUGAAUUCUGACUGAGUUCCUACUUGCUUUCCCACCCUCCUUUAAGUUGUGCAGUUGCAGGCCGGGACUUUAGCUCAGUGGUUCUGCUACCUGCUUCAAAAGUGCAAGGACCCGAGUUUGAUCCCCGGUACCAGAAAAAAAGAAAAAAAAAAAAAAAGUUGUACAGUUGCAAUUGGCUAACAAGUGAAGCGGAGUAAACAAGAGGGACAAUGAAUGUGUCCUCUUAAAGAUAGCACUAAUCAGGGGACCCCACCCUUAGACUCUGGGAGCCAGAAGUGCUGCUGGUUGGAAGCUGAUGAUCACAGCCGACAAUAAAGUUAAUUGUUACCCAGUC